UACAGAGGUCCCGAGCGUUGUUCGGAUUCACUGGGCGUAAAGGGCGCGUAGGUGGUCUGAUAAGGGUGUGGUGAAAGUCCGGGGCUCAACCCCGGAUCUGCCGUGCCGACUGUCAGACUCGAGGACUGUAGAGGCAGGCGGAAUCCGGGUGUAGCGGUGGAAUGCGUAGAGAUCCGGAGGAAGACCGGUGGCGAAGGCGGCCUG
rnacentral:rRNA from 1 species